GUCUACGGCUAUACCACCCUGAACGCGCCCGAUCUCGUCUGAUCUCGGAAGCUAAGCAGGGUCGGGCCUGGUUAGUACUUGGAUGGGAGACCGCCUGGGAAUACUGGGUGCUGUAGGCU
rnacentral:rRNA from 1 species